rnacentral:lncRNA from 10 species
UGAUGUGAGCUCUGUUUUUAGGAAUCACUGGGUUAUUGUAUCUCUGAAUGAUUAAACUUAACUCUCACCAUGACAUGAGGGUAUCUCUCCUUCCAGAUCCGCAAAUAAUGUUUUGUAUACCCAAACAUGAGGGUGAGUAAAAUCUGGGCACUCAGGCAACAAUGCCACAUCAUUACUCAGCUUUUGAAAGUCUGCCCAGCCUGGUGAGGGUGUAUUUGGUACUUUGCCCUCCUCUCUGCCCAGUUUUCCCCUGACUGGCGAUUUCCUGCUGUCUCUUGAAUUCCUGUAGCUCCUACUGCAGCUUGCGCCACAAGGGGAGUCCCCAAAUACUGUGAAGCACCCAGAACUCAAAGGGUUUCAUUUCACUAAAGAAUGUUCCUUUUCUAUUUCUUCCAGUGUCUGUGGAUGAACACUACACCAUUUGCUCCAUUUUCUGAGAAUUUCUCAGUGGAUGCUUUAAAAACCAAGGAUGAAUUCAGCAUCUCUAUUUUAUGUGGAAGCUGUUCUCAGCAUCAUUUGUUUUCUUACUUGGGUGGAAAAGAUAGCUGGCCUCCCCUGCAGCUAGGUAAGAUCAUGUAAUGGAAUUCUGGCCAAUGGAAUAUGAGUGGAGUUAAUGUGGGUAACCUCCAUGAUGGGCAAAGAAACACCUCCCAGGAAAAAGUCUUGAUUUUUCCUCAUGUCUGCUGACUACAUAUCGACUCUUGAAUAGACUUGAGUAUCUGCUGUUGAAGGAUGCAGAGGCUCUGUCAGCCUGGGCCCCUGAGUGACUUCAUGGAGUAUACCAUCUCUCCAACUGGAUUUUAUCUUUCAGUGGUUCAGUUUUUCUCCACUGUUUCCACCAAAAUACCAUCAACAGUAAGGAAGAACAAUGUGGACCACCAGAAGGCUGGAGUGUUUUCUGAAGCUGCUCCUGCUUGGACUUUGGUUGGAAGUCGUGAUUGUCUGAGGGUUCAUGCUGGCGCUCCCCCAGUGAACCUAGCUCACCUACCCUCUGCUCUGGCUCUAGUCUCUCUUCCCUUCUUCUAAGGGAGGCUACUGCUGUGCUCAGUGCGGAGCUGGGUUCAAGGAGAGCUGGGGCUCUGAAGGAGUCGUGGGGAGAAGGCUGACAUGAGUCCUGAGUGAGUGGACCUGCUCUCUCUGGCCCUGAAGGGGUCAAGAGGCAACUGGGUGUGUGGGCUGAGUCUUUCCUGGCCCUGAAGCUGGAAGUAGAGGCUUUGUGCAGGAUCCUCAGCAGGGGACUAAAAGCCUGUGCUUUCAUAACCCGAGCCACACUGGCAAGUGCGCUGCCUCCUCCCACCUUUGAGACAGUUGCCUUCAGGAGCACAUCUACCAGAAGCCAACAAAGAAAAGCAACAGCCUCUUGGAGGGGCCUUUCUCCAGGGAGAGAAGGGUGAGGCAGCACAGGCAGAGCUGGUGUAGGAGACACAAGACAGUAUGAAUUUCAAAAUCAGAGCAUUGAAGGAGAUUCAAAUAUGGCACAAAAAGAGUUUCUGGAGCUAAAAAUCAUAAUUUCCUAACUAAAUACCAUUCAGUAGAUUAACUGAAAAAGUGGAAGAUCACCGUGAAGAUAUGGUCAGCUCUCCUGGAGGGUCAAAGGGCAGACAGACCCCUUGAUGAAAAGGGUGGUAUAGAGCAAAUGUAGAAAGAGAUGGGAAGCAAGUAGAAAUGGGUAAGGAACAUGGGAUGGAUCCUAAAACCUUGACUUGUGAAUAGAGAAACCUUGACUUGCAGAAAGAGGAAAAAAUAGAACCAACGGAGGAGAGGUGACCAUGAUACUAACAAUAAAAGAAAACUUCCCUGAACUGAAGCAAACCUGAGCCUCUGUUUUUUUUGUUUUCAAAUUUAAUACACUAUUUUUAAGAGAAGUUUUAGAUUCACAACAAAAUCAAGCAGAAAAUAAAGAAUUCCCAUGUGCCCACCCUCCAUAGCUUCCCACCCUCCUUCCCACCCUCCAUAGCUUCCCACCCUCCUUCCCACCCUCCAUAGCUUCCCACCCUCCUUUCCACCCUCCAUAGCUUCCCAAACUAUCAACAUUUCUCACCAGCAUGAUACAUUUGUUAUAAUUGAUGAGCCUACAUUAACACAUCAUUAUCAAAGUUCCUUUACCCAGGGUUCCCUCUUGUUGUACGUUCUAUGUGGGUUUUAAGGAAUGUAUCCACCAUUAUAGUACCAUACAGAGUAGUUUCACUGCCCUAAAAAUCCCCUGCCCUCCCCCUACUCAGCCCUUCCUCCCCAGGUCCCUGGAAACCACUGAUCUUUUCACCAUCUCUAUAGCUUUGCCUUUUCCAGAGUGUCAUAUAGGUGGGACCACUCAGCAUGUAGCCUUUUCAGAUUGGCUUCUUUCACUUAGUAAUGUGCAUUUAAGGUUCUUCCACGUCUUUUUGGUGACUUGAUGGCUCAUUUCUGUU